rnacentral:tRNA from 1 species
UGCGGAGUAGAGCAGUCCGGUAGCUCGUCGGGCUCAUAACCCGAAGGUCGUAGGUUCAAAUCCUACCUCCGCUACCA